GAUGAACGCUGGCGGUCUGCUUAACACAUGCAAGUCGAACGGAGUCCUUCGGGAUUUAGUGGCGGACGGGUGAGUAACGCGUGAGAAUCUGCCCUUAGGUUGGGGACAACAGUUGGAAACGACUGCUAAUACCCAAUGUGCCGAGAGGUGAAAGUUAACUGCCUGGGGAUGAGCUCGCGUCUGAUUAGCUAGUUGGAGUGGUAACGGCACACCAAGGCGACGAUCAGUAGCUGGUCUGAGAGGAUGAUCAGCCACACUGGGACUGAGACACGGCCCAGACUCCUACGGGAGGCAGCAGUGGGGAAUUUUCCGCAAUGGGCGAAAGCCUGACGGAGCAAGACCGCGUGAGGGAGGAAGGCCUAUUGGUUGUAAACCUCUUUUGAUAGGGAAGAACACAAUGACGGUACCUAUCGAAUCAGCAUCGGCUAACUCCGUGCCAGCAGCCGCGGUAAUACGGAGGAUGCAAGCGUUAUCCGGAUUUAUUGGGCGUAAAGCGUCCGUAGGUGGCAAACCAAGUCAGUUGUUAAAGCGUAGAGCUUAACUCUAUAAGGGCAAUUGAAACUGGUUAGCUAGAGUGCGAUAGGGGCAAGGGGAAUCCCAGUGUAGCGGUGAAAUGCGUAGAUAUUGGGAGAACAUCGGUGGCGAAGGCGCCUUGCUGGGCUGCACUGACACUGAGGGACGAAAGCUAGGGGAGCGAAAGGGAUUAGAUACCCCUGUAGUCCUAGCCGUAAACGAUGGAUACUAGGCGUUGUCCG
rnacentral:rRNA from 1 species